UUAUCAUCAGUUUCUUCCCCAAAGCCUCAUGAAGGCAGUUAUUUCUUACUGACUUAUCCACUACAAAAAUCUCAGCUCUAAGAGGAGUUCCUGAUAAAUUGCAGGCCUUUAGUAAAUCUUUGUUCAUUGAAUGGAUGAAUAACUUACAUUUGCCAAACUACAUUGGUUUAUCUUGUAACAAGUAGAAGUAGACAAAUGUUUUUAAGCAGGAUUCACAUUGAGACAACUAUCUUGGGAGACAGGAAGUUGCUGUGAUAACAGUGUUCAGGUUGGAUUGGAAGAAAUUUGGAGAUAAGAGGCUUUUCAAGAAAAAACUGAAGGUCCAACAAUAGCAGUGAUGGUGGAAAAGCUUGAGUGUGUGUGUGUGUGUGUGUGUGUGUGUAUGUGUGUGUGUAGGAGUUGUUGGUUAUGAGUGACACUUGGAUUAAGAACACGUGGUAGCUGGUGAUAUCAGGAGUAAAGGAUAUUGGAGAGGAGGUUGAGAAAAAUGAAAGUGUGACUUAAUUCUACAUUUCUUUGAGAGAAUGUGGUAAAAUAACACUUAUCAUAGUGGAGAAAAAUCUAAGACAUAAAAAGAAAGAUGAAUUUAUUUUGCUUUAAGGUUUUUUUAAAAAAAUUAUGGAAUGUGUAUCACAUAAAAUUUACCAUUUUAACUAUUUUUAAAUGUGCAGUUCAGCAGCAUUAAAUUCAUUUAUGUUGUCAUGCAAUGAUCACCACUAUUUAUCUUUAGAACAUUUUAUCUUCCCAUAAUGAAACACUAUACCAAGUCAACAAUAACUCCUUGCCCCCCUCACCCCCAGUUCCUGGCAACUUCCAUUCUACUUUCUGUCUCUGUGACUUUGGCUAUUCUAGGUGUCUUGUAUAAAUGGUAGCAUUACAGUAUUUGACCUUUUCUGAUUGUAGUUUUUCACUUAUCAUAGUAACUUUGAGGUUCAUCCAUGGUGUAGCAUAUGUCAGAACUUCACCCCUUUUUUUAAAGUGACUAUUCCAUUGUGUUUAUGUAUUGGUCCCUUGAUGAACAUUGGGUUGCUUUAGCCUUUUGGCUCUUAUGGAUUGUGCUUCUAUGAAUAUUGUUGUAUGAAUAUCUUUAAAUCUGCUUUGACUUCUUUGGGUUACUCACCCAGGACUGGAAUUGGUGAAUCAUAUGGUAAUUCCAUGUUUACUAUUUUGAAGAACCACCAUACUGACUUUCAUUUCAGGUGAACUGUGUUUGAGUUGGUGGAGAGUGUCAGAAGGUAGGACUGGACCUUGGCUGAAGGUACUUCUAGGCAGAGAUUCCAGUUGAAGGAACCUCCCAGAUGUGAUGAAAAAGGGGAGGUGGUGAAUUAGUUUGAGGAGGGACAAAGGAAGGUAUUGAGUGAAGGACCAAGUCAAGUCAUAGGAAAGAGAAGCAGUGAAGGGAGCCAGUCAAUGAGACAGAAAAGGAGCAAUCAGAAUUAAGAACAGAACCAAGAGUGCUGAUAUACACUUAACUCAAACUCAUCCAUAUUCAUUGAGUACUCUGUCAAGAACUUCUUUUCAGAAGAAUAAGCUUCUAUUUAAGGAUGUCAUUACUUUCAAGGGUUCAGGUCCAGUAGGUCACAGAUCACUACUGUGUGUUGAAUUUCUGAGGCAUAGAUACUUUUCAAAAAAGUCCUAGAAAUACUAAAAAAAGCAGAGAAUCUCUUAUUCUUUUGUUGGCUGUUCUCCGUUUCCUCUUUUGCAUUAAUAAUUUUACAGUUACUUUUUUCCCCCAAUGAUUUAUGGAAUUAUGACACACUUUAGGAAAAGUGAGCAAGCCAACAUGGAUAACUCUGUGACUUCUCAGAGAGUGCCAUGUAGCUAGGUAAUCAACACCCAGAUCAAGAAACACAGCACUGACCUUACCCAAGUGGUUCCCUGCAUGCCUCAUUUAUACAGUAUCAACAUUGUUCGAAUUUCUGGCACCAUAGCAUAUUUUUUUCUGUUUUGAAUCUAUGUAAGUGGAAUCAUGCAGCAUGUACUAUCUGGGCCUGACUUCUUUCACUUAAUGUUUCUGAAAUUAAUCGACGUUUCUGGGAAUGCUUUUAUACAAGUUAUUUAUUUUCACGUCAUAUUCAUAUGCAAGUAUCCAGACUUUUGGGUAACUUCCAGUUUGAGGCUAUUAUAAAUAAUAGUAUAUGAACAUCAUUACAGUUUCUUAUUGAAAUAGGAAUUUGGUAUUAUGUUUUACCUAUUUAAAUUGCCAUUGCUUCAAUAAUUCAAGUGUCUUUUCUACCCAGUGCUUUCCCCCCUUACCUAAUUAUCUUUAUUGUUAAUACAAGUUGUAUUUUCCUUAAUAUUAGUUUUGAAAGUACAAAGUACCAUAGGGAAUUGAGGUUCUUUAAAAAAUCUGUAUUUACUUUCAUUAACAUUUUCUUUUUAAAGGAUCUAUUUUAAUUUUUUUUCUCAUCUACCCAGAUUAUGCCUCUUAAAUGUGUGUUGAAUCUGUCAAAAUUCUUCAUCCCUUAAUGAGGUGAAUUGUUCAACCCUGAAACAAAUAUUUUAAUUUUGGCACCAUGAUGAGUUGGAGGAAGAAUAGCUCUUGUUCUUAAUGCAGA
rnacentral:lncRNA from 1 species